UUUAAUUCUCUAGUCUCUACUAGUUGGCUUCUCUGGAUCUCACUCAAACUCAGCCUCUCAAUCGUUUUUCUCUCACGCUCACGCUCACCCGCUCGAUCUAUUCUCUCUCACACUCAGCCCCCUCGAUCCGUUCUCUCACUCAGCCUCUGCAAGAACUCAGCCUCUACAAGAACUCAGCUCUUGUCUUUCUCUCCAUAACGUCGAGCUGCUCUCCUUCCCACCCAGCCUCGGCAAGAACCAGGCGACCCCACUGAUGCAAGAACAAGGCCACCAUGGGGUAAACUAGGCAGACCUCCAAUUGUUUAUGAGAUUCUUCUACCACAAUGCUUAUAGAUGGUUUCCUGCAUAUGGGUUAGUUAAUAUCUUGUUCUGAAGGAGGUUGCAAGCCAAGAGACUUAUGGAACCUUGGGUGCUAUUGUUAGAAGCCGAACUGGAAAUCGACAGGUUGGUUUCCUCACUAAUCGACAUGUGGCUGUUGAUUUAGAUUAUCCAAACCAGAAAAUGUUUCAUCCUUUACCACCAAGCCUUGGACCUGGGGUAUAUUUGGGAGCUGUGGAGAGGGCAACAUCUUUUAUCACAAAUGAUCUUUGGUAUGGAAUCUUUGCUGGAACAAACGCAGAAGACAUAACGAGGAAAAUCAGAGGAAACAGAAACACAGAAAAAUAGCAAAAAGUAUAAGUGAUCUCUAAAUUAGAGGAACAACCUCAACAAAUUUUGGUACAUUACUCGAAUCU